rnacentral:rRNA from 1 species
UUGACAUGGACGGAAUCCCGGAGAGAUGUGGGAGUGCUCGAAAGAGAACCUGCACACAGGUGCUGCAUGGCUGUCGUCAGCUCGUGUCGUGAGAUGUUGGGUUAAGUCCCGCAACGAGCGCAACCCUUGUCCUUAGUUGCUACGAAAGAGCACUCUAAUGAGACUGCCGGUGACAAACCGGAGGAAGGUGGGGAUGACGUCAAGUCCUCAUGGCCCUUAUGGGUAG